AGUCUGCGCAGGGACUGGCGGGACUGCGCGGAGGCGACUGCAGACGUAUCGGGGGUCCGGAGCCUGUCGCGGCUGCUAAGCGCUCGGCGCCUGGCGCUGGCGCUGGCCAAGGCUCCUUUACUGUUCCAGGAUACAGAUCUCCUGAUUCAGGUGUCCAGUGCCUUUUGAACUGAACGCAAGCCCUCCUGGACGAUUGGAACUGUAAUGUGGAAAGGGCUCUGAUGGAGCCAGUUAAAAUGCUUCAUUAUUUGCAAAAUACCACAUACAGUAAUACGAUCUGGAUGUCUUUCCCCUCCUCCACUAAGUAGCAUAAGUGAAGACUUCCCAGAGGAAGUGCGCCUUUUUCAUCUCGUAUCUGAGUCAUGGCCAACAGUGUUGCAAACAGGAACCCGAGGUGUUCACUUCACUGUUGAAGGAACGAGAGGGCAUCUGCUAAAGUUUCAGAUUCCAUUUCUGCUCAGUAUCCAGUAGUGGAUCAUGAAUUUGAUGCAGUGGUGGUAGGCGCUGGAGGGGCAGGCUUUGCGAGCUGCAUUUGGCCUUUCCGAGGCAGAGUUUGAUACAGCAUGUGUUACCAAGCUGUUUCCUACCAGGUCACACACUGUUGCAGCGCAGGUUGGAAUCAAUGCUGCUCUGGGGAACAUGGAGGAGGACAACUGGAGGUGGCAUUUCUAUGACACCGUGAAGGGCUCCGACUGGCUGGGGGACCAGGAUGCCAUCCACUACGUGACGGAGCAGGCCCCCACUGCCAUGGUCGAGCUAGAAAAUUAUGGCAUGCCGUUUAGCAGAACUGAAGAUGGGAAGAUUUAUCAGCGUGCAUUUGGUGGACAGAGCCUCAAGUUUGGAAAGGGCAGGCAGGCCCAUCGGUGCUGCUGUGUGGCUGAUCGGACCGGCCACUCAAUAUUGCACACCUCAUAUGGGAGGUCUCUGAGAUAUGAUACCAGCUGUUUUGUGGAGUAUUUUGCCUUGGAUCUCCUGAUAGAGAACAGGGAGUGCCGUGGUGUCAUUGCACUGUGCAUAGAGGACGGGUCCAUCCAUCACAUAAGAGCAAAGAACACUGUUGUUGCCACAGGAGUCAAGAAACUUUUCUUUUGAGCUAUUGACAGCUUUUAACAAGUUAUUAUACUCCUAUGAACAAAAUUUGGAGCAUAUUUGUUUCUCUCUGCCUGAUUUCUCCUGAAUUUGGAAACUAUUUGACAUGAGGAUUCUCAACCUGAUAAAAAUGAGCUUUCCUAAUAACUCAAGACCCAUCUGCCUAGGAAUAAACCAUCCCAGCUGUGAGAGACCAGACGAAACCUGAGACCAGAGACUCGUUUUCUUCUAAAAUGCUUUCUCCAAAAGAUUUUUAAACAGAAAAAGGGGGAAAUGUGAAAGGAAAAGAAAACUUGAGGCCCCCAAAAUCACUAAGCUAAAAGGAAAAGUCAAGCUGGGAAUGGCUUAGGGCAAACCUGCCUCCCAUUCUAUGCAAAGUCAUCCCUCCGUGCACUGAGAUAAAUGCUUAUCUAAUUGCCUCCUUUGGAGAGGCUCAUCAGAAACUCAAAAUAAUGCAACCAUUUGACUCUCACCUACCUGUGACCUGGAAGAUCCCUCUCUGCUUGAGUUGUCCUGCUUUUCUGGAUGGAACCAAUGUUCAUCUUACAUAUAUUGAUUGAUGUCUCAUGUCUCCCUAAAAUGUAUAAAACCAAGCUGUGCCCUGACCACCUUGGGCACAUGUCGUCAGGACCUCCUGAGGCUGUGCCACAGGCAUGCAGCCUCAACCUUGGCAAAAUAAACUUUCUAAAUUGACUGA
ensembl:lncRNA SDHAP4 SDHA pseudogene 4